CACACUUGUAAGAUUGCUUCACAUAAUACUAUGCUUCUGUAUGCAAAACAUGCUUGAAGAAUUACUCCCUCUAAUCUUGAACUCAAGUAGUUUGUGUGGAAAAGAAUGUAUUUAUUUAGCCUUUCAUUUUUCAUUUAUACCCUGUCAAUAGGCUCAAGGUGAUGGGCAUGGCUUUAUUUCCCUCCAUUUUAUCCCACAACAACCCAGUGAGGUAGAUCCAUAUGGAAGUAUGACCGACCCAAGGACACUCAGUAACUUUAAUGGUCAGAUGGGGUCUUAAGUCUAGUCCUGUGAAUCAUAUUUUAUCACUCUAACCACAAUGCCACACUGGCUCUGUAGCUGAAAAAGUGCUAUUUUGAGGAACAAGAGGGGAAUCUGGUUGAGGUCAUCUCAGGGUGGCUAUAUGGCCUGUUUUACAGAGGACAGUCCUCAGUUGGAAGGACUAUCUCAAAUCAGGUUUUAAGGCAAAGAAUCACCUUAAGAAAGAGAGAAGGAAUUCCAAAGUUGCCCAAUAUGUAUGAUCCUGAAGUUGAGGCUCCAAUACUUUGGCCAUCUCA